UGAGUUCGAGCCUCACCUGGAGCAGUGUUUUUACUAAGAGAGAGCGAUAGAGCUCGCACCCCGGGCAGGUUGGUGAUGAAGAGCCUGUCAGAGCGCCAAGGGGAAGUGAUGUCAUGGCGCUCUAGGCAGAAGAACAGCAGACUGGAGAGGACCUGAGCCCUAGGAUCAUGCCUCAGGACUACCUGGCAUGAUGACUCCUUGCUGUCCCCAGUCCACAUGGCCGUGCUGCUGCUCCAGUUUCAACUGUUCUGCCUGCGGCUAUGGAAUCCUGACCUGUUCACCGGACGUGCUACCUGUCCCAGACCUAUUAUUUGACCAUGCUGGUCAUUUAUGAACAUUUGAACAUCUUGGCCAUAUUCUGUUAUAAUCUCCACCCGGCACAGCCAGAAGAGGACUGGCCACCCCUCAUAGCCUGGUUCCCCUCUAGGUUUCUUCCUAGGUUUUGGCCUUUUUGGGGAGUUUUUCCGAGCCAACGUGCUUCAACACCUGCAUUGCUUGCUGUUUGAGGUUUUAGGCUGGGUGUCUGUACAGCACUUUGAGAUAUCAGCUGAUGUACGAAGGGCUAUAUAAAAAAAAUUGAUUCAAUUUUGAUUUGACUUUGCUAUGAGACUUGAAAUUGAGCUCAGUUGCAUCUUGUUUCCAUUGAUCAUCCUUGAUGUUUCUGCAACUUGAUUGGAGUCCACCUGUGGUAAAUUCAUUUAGCAAAGGCACACACACCUUAAGGUCCCACUGUUGCAGUACAUGGCCAAAACCAAGCCAUGAGUUUGAAGGAAUUGUCCAUAGAACUGCAAGACAGGAUUGUGUCGACGCACAGAUCUGGGGAAGGGACCCAAAAAAUGUCUGCAGCUUUUAAGGUCCCCAAGAACA